rnacentral:sRNA from 1 species
GCUGUACCGGUUAGAUUGGGAUACUCAUCAAUAAUUAACUGAAAUACCGAGACCAGUCGAUUUGCUAAUGGCGUGCCGAUAUGCGCUUGCGUAGGGUCGGAUUACAGAGGCAGGUUGAUUCUCAAAUCCUUAUUUUACUCGGAGUUUCAUCACAUCACUGGUACAGCCG